rnacentral:tRNA from 1 species
CGCGGUGAGCCCGACAGGAAGGGAGUCGGCCCAUACCCGACCAGUAGCAGGUUCGAAUCCUGCCGCCGCGA